AGAUAUUGUGAAGUCUUAGACACACUGCUGUAGUGCACCUUCCUUGUUCCAUGCUUUCUGUAUGCCUUUUGCCAUUCGUCUCAUCUCACUUUUUCAGCUGCCUCCUUCAGAAGCCGUUCGUCUUUGGUCAACCUAAAUUUUUUAUUUUCUGCAGCAAUAUGAUGACUAACCUGAGUCCAAAUCAGUUCUGUUGCAUUGAAGUUGCAAUGGUUGGGAGGCAAUCUGAGAACUUAAUGCCCUUAUUUUUUUGCUAUUUAAUCCAUAAUGUAAACUGGCUUCUUUGGCUUGUGUUGUGACACAAGUUCUAAUAACUGUGUCCUUGUUAAAUUACUGUCAAAUCAUAUCUUUUAAGUUUCUCUAGCCAGUAAACACUGUUGUUUUUCUUUGUUGCCUUUGCAGACAUCUUAUCUUGUAUAACCAAAUGACAUGAAGUGUUAUCCAUGACAAUUUUUGAGGUUUUUGUUAAGUUUUGAAGCACAAUGUCUUCAAACCAUAUCAUAAAAAGGACAAUCUACUACCCUGAAGUAGGUCCAGUGUUGCAAGGGUAGUGUGUAGCAUUUUGAGUGUUGGAUACUCAUUCCCUGAAUAAUAUGCAUAGAUCUGAUGAUGAAUUUCAUCUUUCUGAAAAGAGCUGACAUUUGUGACCCUCUUGUAGUGGCACCUCUUCUUCCCAGGUGUCUCCAGUUUAGAUGACUCACCUGAUUCUUCUUUCGCAAAUUUCUCCUUGCAGAUUCUUAUAACUGAUUGUUCAUUGAUUUUUAGAGCAUCUGAAGUUCACUCCACCACUUUAUCCAAAUGAAGUAGACGUGUUCCUGCAUUACUCUCUCUCUCAAAAUACUUCCUCAUAGAACACACGAAUUCACACAACUUGACUGUGUAUAACCAUGCCAUGACCAGCACUUUUUGCAAGUUUCCUAGGAGUUUGCAGCCUUGGUCUGCCCUCUUUUGACUACUUUCGUCACACAUUGUGAGGGACAUGAAGCUGAAAGUCACCCAAAUCUCUUACUACAAUGGCUCACUAAGGGCUGGAUGGCAUAAGGCUUCAAGCAGCGCAGCACAGCGGAAGUGGCAACGCAGUGGAAGCUGACAGUGCCAGGGUCCCAUUGGUGUACUGGUGGCAGGAGCCUUGCGGCUUGCUACCUGUCAGACUGCUCCUACUGUCUGCAAAUCAUCUGAUGUUCUGACAUACACUUUUCUUCUAGCUGUCUCUAAAGGAACAGCUGCAACGAAGUUAAAUUGAAGACCAACGAUGAUGGUUCCACCA